AACGAACGCUAUCGGUAUGCUUAACACAUGCAAGUCGGACGGACUAAUUAGGGCUUGCUCCAAUUAGUUAGUGGCAGACGGGUGAGUAACGCGUGGGAAUCUGCCCAUCAGUACGGAAUAACUUUUAGAAAUAAAAGCUAAUACCGUAUAUUCUCUACAGAGGAAAGAUUUAUCGCUGAUGGAUGAGCCCGCGUCAGAUUAGGUAGUUGGUGAGGUAACGGCUCACCAAGCCGACGAUCUGUAGCUGGUCUGAGAGGAUGAUCAGCCACACUGGGACUGAGACACGGCCCAGACUCCUACGGGAGGCAGCAGUGGGGAAUAUUGGACAAUGGGCGAAAGCCUGAUCCAGCAAUACCGAGUGAGUGAUAAAGGCCCUAGGGUUGUAAAGCUCUUUUAGCAAGGAAGAUAAUGACGUUACUUGCAGAAAAAGCCCCGGCUAACUCCGUG
rnacentral:rRNA from 1 species